rnacentral:rRNA from 1 species
CCUACGGGGGGCAGCAGUGGGGAAUAUUGGACAAUGGGGGGAACCCUGAUCCAGCCAUGCCGCGUGUGUGAAGAAGGCCCUCGGGUUGUAAAGCACUUUCAGUGAGGAAGAACGCCUGGUGGUUAAUACCCAUCAGGAAAGACAUCACUCACAGAAGAAGCACCGGCUAACUCCGUGCCAGCAGCCGCGGUAAUACGGAGGGUGCGAGCGUUAAUCGGAAUUACUGGGCGUAAAGCGCGCGUAGGUGGCUUGAUAAGCCGGUUGUGAAAGCCCCGGGCCCAACCUGGGAACGGCAUCCGGUACUGUCAAGCUAGAGUACUGGAGAGGAUGGUAGAAUUCCAGGUGUAGCGGUGAAAUGCGUAGAGAUAGGGAGGAAUACCGGUGGCGAAGGCGGCCUUCUGGACUGACACUGACACUGAGGUGCGAAAGCGUGGGUAGCAAACAGGAUUAGAUACCCUUGUAGUC